UAGUUGAAAUAGUAGUAAUGAGUAAUGAUCCUGGCUGCACAGAUUGAACGCUGGCGGGAUGCUUUACACAUGCAAGUCGAACGGCAGCACGGACUUCGGUCUGGUGGCGAGGCGAACGGUGAGUAAUGUAUCGCAGACCGCUUAUGGUGUGGGGAGAAUUACACGCGAAAGCGUAGCUACUACCGCAUACGCCCCUUCGGGGAAAGCGGGGACCUUCGGGCCUCGCACUAGGAGCGUAAUGAUAUCGGAUUAGCUAGUUGGUGGGGUAACGGCUCAACAAGGCGAUGAUCCGUAGCUGGUUUGAGAGGACGACCAGCCACACUGGGACUGAGACACGGCCCAGACUACGGGAGGCAGCAGUGGGGAAUUUUUAAUAAUGGGGAAACCUGAUCCAAGCCAUCUGCGUGUAAAAGAUGAAAUAGCCUCGGGUUGUGCCACUUUUGGCAGGAAAGAAACGGCACGGAGACAGCUCCGUGCACCGACAAAACGGCAGAAGGGCACCAUUAACUACGUGCCAGAAACAACGCAAUUACGAAAAGUUGCGAAUCUUGAAUACUGGCGCAAAGCGUGCAAAAGUGGUCUGGAAGAAAGAUGUGAAAUCCCAGAGCUUAACUCUUGAACUGCAUUUUUAACUACCGAGCUAGAGUGUGUCAGAGGGAGGUGGAAUUCCGCGUGUAGUAGCGGAAUGGAGAAAGGUGGAGAACACCACAGAGCAGUUGCAGCCUCCUGGAUAACACUGACGCUCAUGCACGAAAGCGUGGGGAGCAAACAGGAUUGAUACCCGGGAACGAGCCCUAAACGAUGUCAACUAGCUGUUGGGGCCUUCGGGCCUUUCGGUAGCAGCUAACGCGUGAAGUUGACCGCCUGGGGAGUACGGUCGCAAGAUUAAAACCUCAGCUGAAUUGACGGGACCUGCACGUUGUGGAGGAGCGGGAUUGAAUUCGAUGCAACGCGAAAACCUUACUCACCCUUGACAUAUGUCUUGAACUGAAGAGAUUUGGGAGGUCAAAGAGAACCGGAACACAGGUGCUGCAUGGCUGUCGUCGUCAGCCGUGAGAUGUUGGGUUAAGUCCCGCAACGAGCGCAACCCUUGUCAUUAGCUGCUACGAAAGGGCACUUAAUGAGACUGCCGGUGACAAACCGGAGGAAGGUGGGGAUGACGUCAGUCCGGCGGUCUUUAUGGGUAGGGCUUCACACGUCAUACAAUGGUCGGGACAGAGGGUCGCCAACCCGCAGGAGCGCAUAACCUGAAACCCGAUCGUAGUCCGGAUCGUGCUCCAACUCAUCAGUGAAGCUGGAAUCGCUAGUAACGCGGAUCAGCAUGUCGCGGUGAAUACGUUCCUGGUCUUGCACAAUACCGCCGGCCAUCAUGGAGUGGCUACCGAAGAGUUAGCUCAACCGUAAGGAGGGCGAUUACCACGGUAGAUUCAUGACUGGGGUGAAGUCGUAACAAGGUAG
rnacentral:rRNA from 1 species